GUUAACUGUACUCGGCUGUUUCCUAUUUUGUUUUUUAUGUUUUUUAUGAUUUAGUUAAACAUAAACAUCUCACCUCUAACUGUCCAGUUCAGAAUUCAGGAGGCCUAACAGACCAUUCAAACAGGAUAAUGAAUGUUUCAAAGAGGAGAAAUAUAAGAAAGGAACAGACUUCUAUUUUAGAGCCAUGUACUUGAUCUUUCUGAUGCCAUAUUCCCUGCUAAUUGGGUGAUUGCUUUGAUUAAAGUAAAAAGAUUUGUAGAGGCCGAAGAAUAUUGUAACCCAUCUUUAAAGCUUGAUCCAACCUUAUAUUUGUGAAAGCGUAUCGUCGUCGCGGCAUAGCCCGAUCCCAUAAAAGAUGCAACAAGUACUUGAUGAAUUUGAGAAAGUAUUAAGUAUCGAGCCACAUAACAAAGCUGCGCUGCAAGAAUUUAAACGUCCCUCAAAACUCGAGACUUACUAGUUGGAAGAGAUACCGCUUACUUCCGGUGUAGUUCCGGUACAAGGAAUUGACUAUCGAAUGUGUGACACUCACACUAGAUGGUGACCGGUGAGAUGUCUUUUCUUGUCAUGGCGUCAUGCGAAAGAUGUCGAAAAUUAAGUUUGCUUUUGUGCCGGACGUUAUUUUGUUUUUCGGGAGAAAUCAAGCAUCAAAAUGAUAUGUAUUGUCCAGGUUAAACCAUAGUCUAUGGUUUUACAUAUGGAUUAACUUUAUCCUGGGCAUUCAACCUCAAGUUGCUGAAUAUUUCUUAUUAAACUUCAUCUUUAUAUCCUGAAACUUGCUUGCUACUGUGAUCGAGUAGUGAAAUUCUAUCCUGGCUGCCAUUCUCUGUUUCAACCUCCCCGUAGGAAGCACACAACAUAGUUCCCAUGGCAGAUAAAGAUAAUUUGCCUCUCAGAAAAAAUGCGAGGUAUCUGGUCGUCCAUCUAAGGAAAAUUAUCAGGCAUUGACGACACGUCCAACGCGGAUCAUCGUCUAUUAUUAUUGAUACGUCAUUUUCGAGCUCAUUUUCUCAGCUGAAAAAAUCGUCUUUUUAUCUGCUAUUCUCUUGCUGUGAACGUUCGUUGGCGUAACUAAACAGUUCGGGAACAAAAGGAGUGGAACAACCGAACAGGAAAGGACUUGGCGG